AGCGAACGCUGGCGGCAGGCUUAACACAUGCAAGUCGAGCGGGCAUCCUUGUGGUGACAGCGGCAGACGGGUGAGUAACGCGUGGGAACGUGCCCUUCGGUUCGGAAUAACUCAGGGAAACUUGAGCUAAUACCGGAUACGUGCGAGAGCAGAAAGGUUUAUCUGCCGAAGGAUCGGCCCGCGUCUGAUUAGCUAGUUGGUGAGGUUACGGCUCACCAAGGCGACGAUCAGUAGCUGGUCUGAGAGGAUGAUCAGCCACACUGGGACUGAGACACGGCCCAGACUCCUACGGGAGGCAGCAGUGGGGAAUAUUGGACAAUGGGGGCAACCCUGAUCCAGCCAUGCCGCGUGAGUGAUGACGGCCUUAGGGUUGUAAAGCUCUUUUCUCCGGGACGAUAAUGACGGUACCGGAGGAAUAAGCCCCGGCUAACUUCGUG
rnacentral:rRNA from 1 species